rnacentral:rRNA from 1 species
GAUGAACGCUAGCGGCAGGCCUAACACAUGCAAGUCGAGGGGUAGAAGUUACUUGUAACUUUGAGACCGGCGUACGGGUGCGUAACGCGUAUGCAACCUACCUCAUACAGGGGGAUAGCCCGGAGAAAUCUGGAUUAAUACCCCAUAGUACAUAUAGAGGGCAUCUGAAAUAUGUUAAAGAUUCAUCGGUAUGAGAUGGGCGUGCGUCUGAUUAGCUAGUUGGCGGUGUAACGGACCACCAAGGCGACGAUCAGUAGGGGUUCUGAGAGGAAGGUCCCCCACACUGGCACUGAGAUACGGGCCAGACUCCUACGGGAGGCAGCAGUAGGGAAUAUUGGGCAAUGGUCGGAAGACUGACCCAGCCAUGCCGCGUGCAGGAAGAAGGCCCUCUGGGUUGUAAACUGCUUUUAUCUGGGAAGAAAAGGCCCGUGCGCGGGACAUUGCCGGUACCAGAUGAAUAAGCACCGGCUAACUCCGUGCCAGCCGCCGCAGUAACAC